GUGAGGAAUAUUGGGCAAUGCCCGCAAGGGUGACCCAGCAACGCCGCGUGGAGGAUGAAUGUCGUAAGAUUGUAAACUCCUGUUAGAGGGGAAGAAUGGUACCGGUUGGACCGGUAUAUGACUGUACCCUCAGAGAAAGCCCCGGCUAACUACGUGCCAGCAGCCGCGGUAAUACGUAGGGGGCAAGCGUUGUCCGGAUUUACUGGGUGUAAAGGGCGCGCAGGCGGGAUAAAAAGUCAGUGGUGAAAUCCUACAGCUUAACUGUAGAACUGCCUUUGAUACUUUUAUUCUUGAGUUCGGGAGAGAGAGACGGAAUUCCAGGUGUAGUGGUGAAAUACGUAGAUAUCUGGAAGAACACCAGUUGCGAAGGCGGUCUCUUGGUCCGACACUGACGCUGAGGCGCGAAAGCGUGGGGAGCAAACA
rnacentral:rRNA from 1 species